rnacentral:rRNA from 1 species
AGCGAACGCUGGCGGCAGGCUUAACACAUGCAAGUCGAACGCCCCGCAAGGGGAGUGGCAGACGGGUGAGUAACACGUGGGAACGUGCCCUAAGGUACGGAACAACAGCUAGAAACGGCUGCUAAUACCGUAUGUGACCGAGAGGUGAAAGAUUUAUCGCCUUAGGAGCGGCCCGCGUUGGAUUAGCUAGUUGGCGGGGUAAAAGCCCACCAAGGCGACGAUCCAUAGCUGGUCUGAGAGGACGAUCAGCCACACUGGGACUGAGACACGGCCCAGACUCCUACGGGAGGCAGCAGUGGUGAAUCUUGGACAAUGGGCGCAAGCCUGAUCCAGCCAUGCCGCGUGAGUGACGAAGGCCCUAGGGUUGUAAAACUCUUUCGCCGAGGACGAUAAUGACGGUACUCGGAGAAGAAGCUCCGGCUAACUUCGUGCCAGCCGCCGCGUAACAC